AAGCCCCAGUAAACGGCGGCCGUAACUAUAACGGUCCUAAGGUAGCGAAAUUCCUUGUCGGGUAAGUUCCGACCCGCACGAAAGGCGUAAUGAUUUGAGCGCUGUCUCGACAAUGCAUCCGGUGAAAUUGAAGUACCAGUGAAGAUGCUGGUUACCUGCGCCAGGACGGAAAGACCCCAUGGAGCUUUACUCCAGUCUGGUACUGGGACUCGGUAUUGCAUGUACAGGAUAGGUGGGAGGCUAGGAGAUGGUAACGCCAGUUGCCAUGGAGCCGCUGUUGGGAUACCACCCUUGCAGUAUUGGGUUUCUAACCAGCCGCCGUGACCCGGCGGUGGGACAAUGCCAGACGGGGAGUUUGACUGGGGCGGUCGCCUCCGAAAGGGUAUCGGAGGCGCCCAAAGGUUCCCUCAGAAUGGACGGAAACCAUUCGAAGAGUGCAAAGGCAGAAGGGAGCUUGACUGCGACACCGACGGGUGGAGCAGGUACGAAAGUAGGGCUUAGUGAUCCGGUGGUAUUAAGUGGGAAUGCCAUCGCUCAACGGAUAAAAGCUACCCUGGGGAUAACAGGCUUAUCACUCCCAAGAGUUCACAUCGACGGAGUGGUUUGGCACCUCGAUGUCGGCUCAUCGCAUCCUGGGGCUGUAGUAGGUCCCAAGGGUUGGGCUGUUCGCCCAUUAAAGCGGUACGCGAGCUGGGUUCAGAACGUCGUGAGACAGUUCGGUCCCUAUCCGGCGUGGGCGUAGGAUAUCUGAGAGGAGCUGUCCUUAGUACGAGAGGACCGGGAUGGACGGGCCGCUGGUGCAUCGGUUAGACUGCCAAGUCUACGGCCGAGUAGCCAAGCCCGGAAGGGAUAAACGCUGAAGGCAUCUAAGCGUGAAGCCCCCCUUAAGAUGAGAUAUCCCAUUCG
rnacentral:rRNA from 1 species